UACGUAGGUCCCGAGCGUUGUCCGGACUUAUUGGGCGUAAAGGGUGCGUAGGCGGAUUGAUAAGUUAGAGGUGAAAUGUCCGAGCUCAACUCGGGAACUGCCUCUAAUACUGUUGAUCUAGAGAGUAGAUGCGGUAGGCGGAAUGUAUGGUGUAGCGGUGAAAUGCUUAGAGAUCAUACAGAACACCGAUUGCGAAGGCAGCUUACCAAUCUAUAUCUGACGUUGAGGCACGAAAGCGUGGGGAGCGAACAGG
rnacentral:rRNA from 1 species